AUUGAACGCUGGCGGCAGGCUUAACACAUGCAAGUCGAGCGGAGAUGAGGUGCUUGCACCUUAUCUUAGCGGCGGACGGGUGAGUAAUGCUUAGGAAUCUGCCUAUUAGUGGGGGACAACAUUCCGAAAGGAAUGCUAAUACCGCCUACGUCCUACGGGAGAAAGCAGGGGAUCUUCGGACCUUGCGCUAAUAGAUGAGCCUAAGUCGGAUUAGCUAGUUGGUGGGGUAAAGGCCUACCAAGGCUACGAUCUGUAGCGGGUCUGAGAGGAUGAUCCGCCACACUGGGACUGAGACACGGCCCAGACUCCUACGGGAGGCAGCAGUGGGGAAUAUUGGACAAUGGGGGGAACCCUGAUCCAGCCAUGCCGCGUGUGUGAAGAAGGCCUUAUGGUUGUAAAGCACUUUAAGCGAGGAGGAGGCUACUGAGACUAAUACUCUUGGAUAGUGGACGUUACUCGCAGAAUAAGCACCGGCUAACUCUGUGCCAGCCGCCGCGGUAACAC
rnacentral:rRNA from 1 species